UGGGGAAUAUUGGACAAUGGGGGAAACCCUGAUCCAGCAAUGCCGCGUGUGUGAAGAAGGCCUUCGGGUUGUAAAGCACUUUCAGUGGGGAGGAAGGGGCGUAUGUUAAUACCAUACGUCAUUGACGUUACCCACAGAAGAAGCACCGGCUAACUCUGUGCCAGCAGCCGCGGUAAUACAGAGGGUGCAAGCGUUAAUCGGAAUUACUGGGCGUAAAGCGUGUGUAGGUGGUUAGAUAAGUUAGAUGUGAAAUCCCCGGGCUUAACCUGGGCACUGCGUUUAAAACUGUUUAACUAGAGUGCUGUAGAGGGUAGUGGAAUUUCCAGUGUAGCGGUGAAAUGCGUAGAUAUUGGAAGGAACACCAGUGGCGAAGGCGACUACCUGGACAGACACUGACACU
rnacentral:rRNA from 1 species